rnacentral:misc_RNA from 1 species
GAAAUGCGAUAAGUAGUGUGAAUUGCAGAAUUCAGUGAAUCAUCGAAUCUUUGAACGCACAUUGCGCCCUUUGGUAUUCCUUAGGGCAUGCCUGUUCGAGCGUCAUCUAAACCUUCAAGCCCUGCUUGGUGUUGGGUGCCUGUCCCGCCUCCGCGCGCGGACUCACCUCAAGUCCAUUGGCGGCCCCCGCGUCGGCCACGAGCGCAGCAGAAACGCGAACUCGUGAGCCCGUCCGGGCGGCUCCCAGAAGCUACACCCACCCAGUUUGACCUCGGAUCAGGUAGGGAUACCCGCUGAACUUAAGC